rnacentral:miRNA from 1 species
ACAAAUUUCAUAUGUCAGAGAUAUUUUGCUCGUGUAGAUGAUAAUAUCAUCUACACGAGCAAAAUAUCUCUGACAUAUGAAAUUUGUCAAAUA